UGAGCCAAGUUUAGGGUUUUCUCAAAACCCAAGCAGUAUUGAACUGAAGAGUUUGAUCAUGGCUCAGAUUGAACGCUGGCGGCAGGCCUAACACAUGCAAGUCGAGCGGAUGAAGGGAGCUU
rnacentral:rRNA from 1 species